rnacentral:rRNA from 1 species
GGGUUGUGAGGUUAAGCGACUAAGCGUACACGGUGGAUGCCCUGGCAGUCAGAGGCGAUGAAGGACGUGCUAAUCUGCGAUAAGCGUCGGUAAGGUGAUAUGAACCGUUAUAACCGGCGAUUUCCGAAUGGGGAAACCCAGUGUGUUUCGACACACUAUCAUUAACUGAAUCCAUAGGUUAAUGAGGCGAACCGGGGGAACUGAAACAUCUAAGUACCCCGAGGAAAAGAAAUCAACCGAGAUUCCCCCAGUAGCGGCGAGCGAACGGGGAGCAGCCCAGAGCCUGAAUCAGUGUGUGUGUUAGUGGAAGCGUCUGGAAAGGCGCGCGAUACAGGGUGACAGCCCCGUACACAAAAAUGCACAUGCUGUGAGCUCGAUGAGUAGGGCGGGACACGUGGUAUCCUGUCUGAAUAUGGGGGGACCAUCCUCCAAGGCUAAAUACUCCUGACUGACCGAUAGUGAACCAGUACCGUGAGGGAAAGGCGAAAAGAACCCCGGCGAGGGGAGUGAAAAAGAACCUGAAACCGUGUACGUACAAGCAGUGGGAGCCUCUUUAUGGGGUGACUGCGUACCUUUUGUAUAAUGGGUCAGCGACUUAUAUUCUGUAGCAAGGUUAACCGAAUAGGGGAGCCGAAGGGAAACCGAGUCUUAACUGGGCGUUAAGUUGCAGGGUAUAGACCCGAAACCCGGUGAUCUAGCCAUGGGCAGGUUGAAGGUUGGGUAACACUAACUGGAGGACCGAACCGACUAAUGUUGAAAAAUUAGCGGAUGACUUGUGGCUGGGGGUGAAAGGCCAAUCAAACCGGGAGAUAGCUGGUUCUCCCCGAAAGCUAUUUAGGUAGCGCCUCGUGAACUCAUCUCCGGGGGUAGAGCACUGUUUCGGCAAGGGGGUCAUCCCGACUUACCAACCCGAUGCAAACUGCGAAUACCGGAGAAUGUUAUCACGGGAGACACACGGCGGGUGCUAACGUCCGUCGUGAAGAGGGAAACAACCCAGACCGCCAGCUAAGGUCCCAAAGUCAUGGUUAAGUGGGAAACGAUGUGGGAAGGCCCAGACAGCCAGGAUGUUGGCUUAGAAGCAGCCAUCAUUUAAAGAAAGCGUAAUAGCUCACUGGUCGAGUCGGCCUGCGCGGAAGAUGUAACGGGGCUAAACCAUGCACCGAAGCUGCGGCAGCGACGCUUAUGCGUUGUUGGGUAGGGGAGCGUUCUGUAAGCCUGCGAAGGUGUACUGUGAGGUAUGCUGGAGGUAUCAGAAGUGCGAAUGCUGACAUAAGUAACGAUAAAGCGGGUGAAAAGCCCGCUCGCCGGAAGACCAAGGGUUCCUGUCCAACGUUAAUCGGGGCAGGGUGAGUCGACCCCUAAGGCGAGGCCGAAAGGCGUAGUCGAUGGGAAACAGGUUAAUAUUCCUGUACUUGGUGUUACUGCGAAGGGGGGACGGAGAAGGCUAUGUUGGCCGGGCGACGGUUGUCCCGGUUUAAGCGUGUAGGCUGGUUUUCCAGGCAAAUCCGGAAAAUCAAGGCUGAGGCGUGAUGACGAGGCACUACGGUGCUGAAGCAACAAAUGCCCUGCUUCCAGGAAAAGCCUCUAAGCAUCAGGUAACAUCAAAUCGUACCCCAAACCGACACAGGUGGUCAGGUAGAGAAUACCAAGGCGCUUGAGAGAACUCGGGUGAAGGAACUAGGCAAAAUGGUGCCGUAACUUCGGGAGAAGGCACGCUGAUACGUAGGUGAAGUCCCUUGCGGAUGGAGCUGAAAUCAGUCGAAGAUACCAGCUGGCUGCAACUGUUUAUUAAAAACACAGCACUGUGCAAACACGAAAGUGGACGUAUACGGUGUGACGCCUGCCCGGUGCCGGAAGGUUAAUUGAUGGGGUUAGCGGUAACGCGAAGCUCUUGAUCGAAGCCCCGGUAAACGGCGGCCGUAACUAUAACGGUCCUAAGGUAGCGAAAUUCCUUGUCGGGUAAGUUCCGACCUGCACGAAUGGCGUAAUGAUGGCCAGGCUGUCUCCACCCGAGACUCAGUGAAAUUGAACUCGCUGUGAAGAUGCAGUGUACCCGCGGCAAGACGGAAAGACCCCGUGAACCUUUACUAUAGCUUGACACUGAACAUUGAGCCUUGAUGUGUAGGAUAGGUGGGAGGCUUUGAAGUGUGGACGCCAGUCUGCAUGGAGCCGACCUUGAAAUACCACCCUUUAAUGUUUGAUGUUCUAACGUUGGCCCCUAAUCGGGGUUGCGGACAGUGUCUGGUGGGUAGUUUGACUGGGGCGGUCUCCUCCUAAAGAGUAACGGAGGAGCACGAAGGUUGGCUAAUCCUGGUCGGACAUCAGGAGGUUAGUGCAAUGGCAUAAGCCAGCUUGACUGCGAGCGUGACGGCGCGAGCAGGUGCGAAAGCAGGUCAUAGUGAUCCGGUGGUUCUGAAUGGAAGGGCCAUCGCUCAACGGAUAAAAGGUACUCCGGGGAUAACAGGCUGAUACCGCCCAAGAGUUCAUAUCGACGGCGGUGUUUGGCACCUCGAUGUCGGCUCAUCACAUCCUGGGGCUGAAGUAGGUCCCAAGGGUAUGGCUGUUCGCCAUUUAAAGUGGUACGCGAGCUGGGUUUAGAACGUCGUGAGACAGUUCGGUCCCUAUCUGCCGUGGGCGCUGGAGAACUGAGGGGGGCUGCUCCUAGUACGAGAGGACCGGAGUGGACGCAUCACUGGUGUUCGGGUUGUCAUGCCAAUGGCACUGCCCGGUAGCUAAAUGCGGAAGAGAUAAGUGCUGAAAGCAUCUAAGCACGAAACUUGCCCCGAGAUGAGUUCUCCCUGACUCCUUGAGAGUCCUGAAGGAACGUUGAAGACGACGACGUUGAUAGGCCGGGUGUGUAAGCGCAGCGAUGCGUUGAGCUAACCGGUACUAAUGAACCGUGAGGCUUAACCUUACAACGCCGAAG